rnacentral:rRNA from 1 species
GAGUUUGAUCUUGGCUCAGAUUGAACGCUGGCGGCGUGCCUAACACAUGCAAGUCGAGCGGUAACAGGUGUAGCAAUACAUGCUGACGAGCGGCGAACGGGUGAGCAAUGCUUCGGAAUCUGCCCAAUGAUGGGGAAUAACCAGCCGAAAGAUUGGCUAAUACCGCAUACGCCCUUCGGGGAAAGCAGGGGAUCGCAAGACCUUGCGUCGAUGGAUGAGCCGAAGUCGGAUUAGCUAGUUGGUAGGGUAACGGCCUACCAAGGCGACGAUCCGUAGCUGGUCUGAGAGGACGACCAGCCACACUGGGACUGAGACACGGCCCAGACUCUACGGGAGGCAGCAGUGGGGAAUAUUGGACAAUGGGGCAACCCUGAUCCAGCGACGCCGCGUGUGUGAAGAAGGCCUGCGGGUUGUAAAGCACUUUUAGUGGGGAUGAAAAGCACAUCACUAACACUGGUGUGUCUUGACCU